GAUGAACGCUGGCGGCGUGCUUAACACAUGCAAGUCGAACGAGGAAUACUGAUGAAGCUUUCGGAUGAAUUCGGUAUUCCGAGUGGCGGACGGGUGAGUAACGCGUGGGUAACCUGCCCUGUACUGGGGGACAACAGUUGGAAACGGCUGCUAAUACCGCAUAAGCGCACGAUAUCGCAUGGUAUUGUGUGAAAAACUCCGGUGGUACAGGAUGGACCCGCGUCUGAUUAGCUAGUUGGUGGGGUAACGGCCUACCAAGGCGACGAUCAGUAGCCGGCCUGAGAGGGUGAACGGCCACAUUGGGACUGAGACACGGCCCAGACUCC
rnacentral:rRNA from 1 species